CGCAUUAAUAUUUUACACCCAGUAUCGAAUUCACCAUCCUUUCCUUACAAUUUUCCAGUAUGUAUGCUAGUACAUGAGAAGAAGAAAAAAAAGAGCAACUAACGAACGAGCUCACCGGCUAACGAAUGAGGGGGUAGAAAUUCUGCAGUGGACAAAGCAAACAACACCAGCGAGGAGCCAUCAUCCCUCUUUGAUUCUUCGGAGCCGGAUGCAAAAGCAAAUUCUUCACGCCCCUAACACUUGGUUCGCCAUUUUAUGCAAAGCAACACCCAAACAAGUCCUGCAGGUCGCUCGCUCAAUCACGGCGCUCCGACCAUACUUCUCUUAGGAGCUCGUAUCUUACAUUUGCCACGGCGCCUUCUUGUCGAGCACUGAAAUGCGCGACUCCGUUACAAGGCGACGGCGGAGAGCUCCGGUCGUAGAGGGACAUCAAGGGGGAGCCUAGGUCGUCCAGGUCGUCGUCACUGGUG
rnacentral:lncRNA from 1 species